GUACACCAAAAUGCACAGGCUGUGAACUCGAAGAGUAGGGCGGGACACGUGGUAUCCUGUCUGAAUAUGGGGGGACCAUCCUCCAAGGCUAAAUACUCCUGACUGACCGAUAGUGAACCAGUACCGUGAGGGAAAGGCGAAAAGAACCCCGGCGAGGGGAGUGAAAAAGAACCUGAAACCGUGUACGUACAAGCAGUGGGAGCACCUUCGGGUGUGACUGCGUACCUUUUGUAUAAUGGGUCAGCGACUUAUAUUCUGUAGCAAGGUUAACCGUAUAGGGGAGCCGCAGGGAAACCGAGUCUUAACUGGGCGUUAAGUUGCAGGGUAUAGACCCGAAACCCGGUGAUCUAGCCAUGGGCAGGUUGAAGGUUGGGUAACACUAACUGGAGGACCGAACCGACUAAUGUUGAAAAAUUAGCGGAUGACUUGUGGCUGGGGGUGAAAGGCCAAUCAAACCGGGAGAUAGCUGGUUCUCCCCGAAAGCUAUUUAGGUAGCGCCUCGUGAAUUCAUCUUCGGGGGUAGAGCACUGUUUCGGCUAGGGGGUCAUCCCGACUUACCAACCCGAUGCAAACUACGAAUACCGAAGAAUGUUAUCACGGGAGACACACGGCGGGUGCUAACGUCCGUCGUGAAGAGGGAAACAACCCAGACCGCCAGCUAAGGUCCCAAAGUCAUGGUUAAGUGGGAAACGAUGUGGGAAGGCACAGACAGCCAGGAUGUUGGCUUAGAAGCAGCCAUCAUUUAAAGAAAGCGUAAUAGCUCACUGGUCGAGUCGGCCUGCGCGGAAGAUGUAACGGGGCUAAACCAUGCACCGAAGCUGCGGCAGCGACACUAUGUGUUGUUGGGUAGGGGAGCGUUCUGUAAGCCUGCGAAGGUGACCUGUGAGGGUUGCUGGAGGUAUCAGAAGUGCGAAUGCUGACAUAAGUAACGAUAAAGCGGGUGAAAAGCCCGCUCGCCGGAAGACCAAGGGUUCCUGUCCAACGUUAAUCGGGGCAGGGUGAGUCGACCCCUAAGGCGAGGCCGAAAGGCGUAGUCGAUGGGAAACAGGUUAAUAUUCCUGUACUUGGUGUUACUGCGAAGGGGGGACGGAGAAGGCUAUGUUAGCCGGGCGACGGUUGUCCCG
rnacentral:rRNA from 1 species